AAGGUAGUAACCGAAAAACCUUUAACAGAGUAGGUA
ncrna:unclassified sequences DTF805b RNA